UAAGCCAACAGAACUUAAUAAGGUGAUGGGACAGGAAGCAAAAAUGUUUCUGGCUAGUGGAGAAAACACGGCUUAUAUUAGAUGCUGAUUCAAAGCAUAUUCCACCUUCUGGAGAACCCUGCUCCAGUCAUCAAAGCUGCUGACACCUAAAUGCCACUAUAACAAUAUCUUCAAAAGGCCAUCCCAUCUUUCUAUCAGGCCAGCUGCUUCAGGAUGGUGGGGAACAUGCAAAGAACAGUGGAUUCCAUGAUCAUGGGCCCACUGUCAUACUCCUCUGGCUAUCAACUGCAGCCCACCGAUUAGAAAGUUGAGAUUUAUUGCAUGUAGUUGUCUGGAUGACUCUACUUCUUAUCAUUUACUGGAAUGUGACCUUCAAAUGUAACUCCUAUAUUCAACAUGAAAGAUUCUGUUGGGUAUAUAUAGCUGUGAACAACAAAGAGAUGCAGAGCCUACAUGAGAGAAUAAAGAGAAAAGGAACCA